rnacentral:rRNA from 1 species
AGGACGAACGCUGGCGGCGUGCUUAACACAUGCAAGUCGAGCGGUAAGGCCCUUCGGGGUACACGAGCGGCGAACGGGUGAGUAACACGUGGGUAAUCUGCCCUGUACUUUGGGAUAAGCCCGGGAAACUGGGUCUAAUACCGGAUAUGACCUUGUCACGCAUGUGGUGGGGUGGAAAGUUCCGGCGGUACGGGAUGGGCCCGCGGCCUAUCAGCUUGUUGGUGGGGUAAUGGCCUACCAAGGCGACGACGGGUAGCCGGCCUGAGAGGGCGACCGGCCACACUGGGACUGAGACACGGCCCAGACUCCUACGGGAGGCAGCAGUGGGGAAUCUUGCACAAUGGGCGAAAGCCUGAUGCAGCGACGCCGCGUGAGGGAUGACGGCCUUCGGGUUGUAAACCUCUUUCAGUAGGGACGAAGCGUAAGUGACGGUACCUGCAGAAGAAGCACCGGCUAACUACGUGCCAGCAGCCGC